GACGAACGCUGGCGGCGUGCUUAACACAUGCAAGUCGAACGAUGAAGCUGGAGCUUGCUCCGGUGGAUUAGUGGCGAACGGGUGAGUAACACGUGAGCAAUCUGCCCUUGACUCUGGGAUAACUGCGGGAAACUGUAGCUAAUACCGGAUACUUUCACUGGAAGGCAUCUUCUGGUGAAGAAAGAAUUUCGGUCAAGGAUGAGCUCGCGGCCUAUCAGCUUGUUGGUGAGGUAACGGCUCACCAAGGCGACGACGGGGAGCCGGCCUGAGAGGGUGACCGGCCACACGGGGACUGAGACACGGACCAGGCUCCUACGGGAGGCAGCAGUGGGGAAUAUUGCACAAUGGGCGCAAGCCUGAUGCAGCAACGCCGCGUGAGGGAUGAAGGCCUUCGGGUUGUAAACCUCUUUUAGCAGGGAAGAAGCGAAAGUGACGGUACCUGCAGAAAAAGCACCGGCUAACUACGUGCCAGCAGCCGCCGUAA
rnacentral:rRNA from 1 species